rnacentral:rRNA from 1 species
GAUGAACGCUGGCGGCGUGCCUAAUACAUGCAAGUCGAGCGAACGGACGAGAAGCUUGCUUCUCUGAUGUUAGCGGCGGACGGGUGAGUAACACGUGGAUAACCUACCUAUAAGACUGGGAUAACUUCGGGAAACCGGAGCUAAUACCGGAUAAUAUUUUGAACCGCAUGGUUCAAAAGUGAAAGACGGUCUUGCUGUCACUUAUAGAUGGAUCCGCGCUGCAUUAGCUAGUUGGUAAGGUAACGGCUUACCAAGGCAACGAUGCAUAGCCGACCUGAGAGGGUGAUCGGCCACACUGGAACUGAGACACGGUCCAGACUCCUACGGGAGGCAGCAGUAGGGAAUCUUCCGCAAUGGGCGAAAGCCUGACGGAGCAACGCCGCGUGAGUGAUGAAGGUCUUCGGAUCGUAAAACUCUGUUAUUAGGGAAGAACAUAUGUGUAAGUAACUGUGCACAUCUUGACGGUACCUAAUCAGAAAGCCACGGCUAACUACGUGCCAGCAGCCGCGGUAAUACGUAGGUGGCAAGCGUUAUCCGGAAUUAUUGGGCGUAAAGCGCGCGUAGGCGGUUUUUUAAGUCUGAUGUGAAAGCCCACGGCUCAACCGUGGAGGGUCAUUGGAAACUGGAAAACUUGAGUGCAGAAGAGGAAAGUGGAAUUCCAUGUGUAGCGGUGAAAUGCGCAGAGAUAUGGAGGAACACCAGUGGCGAAGGCGACUUUCUGGUCUGUAACUGACGCUGAUGUGCGAAAGCGUGGGGAUCAAACAGGAUUAGAUACCCUGGUAGUCCACGCCGUAAACGAUGAGUGCUAAGUGUUAGGGGGUUUCCGCCCCUUAGUGCUGCAGCUAACGCAUUAAGCACUCCGCCUGGGGAGUACGACCGCAAGGUUGAAACUCAAAGGAAUUGACGGGGACCCGCACAAGCGGUGGAGCAUGUGGUUUAAUUCGAAGCAACGCGAAGAACCUUACCAAAUCUUGACAUCCUUUGACAACUCUAGAGAUCGAGCUUUCCCCUUCGGGGGACAAAGUGACAGGUGGUGCAUGGUUGUCGUCAGCUCGUGUCGUGAGAUGUUGGGUUAAGUCCCGCAACGAGCGCAACCCUUAAGCUUAGUUGCCAUCAUUAAGUUGGGCACUCUAAGUUGACUGCCGGUGACAAACCGGAGGAAGGUGGGGAUGACGUCAAAUCAUCAUGCCCCUUAUGAUUUGGGCUACACACGUGCUACAAUGGACAAUACAAAGGGCAGCGAAACCGCGAGGUCAAGCAAAUCCCAUAAAGUUGUUCUCAGUUCGGAUUGUAGUCUGCAACUCGACUACAUGAAGCUGGAAUCGCUAGUAAUCGUAGAUCAGCAUGCUACGGUGAAUACGUUCCCGGGUCU